GACCGAGGGAGGAUGGGCCCGUCCACGGACGGGCCCCGCACUCCCGGGGCGUCUCGUCCUCAUCGCGAGGAGAGGCGCACCCAGAGCGUACACGCUGGGACCCGAAAGAUGGUGAACUAUGCCUGGUCAGGACGAAGUCAGGGGAAACCCUGAUGGAGGUCCGUAGCGAUUCUGACGUGCAAAUCGAUCGUCGGAACUGGGUAUAGGGGCGAAAGACUAAUCGAA
rnacentral:rRNA from 1 species